UACGAAGGGGGCUAGCGUUGCUCGGAAUUACUGGGCGUAAAGCGCACGUAGGCGGUCUUUUAAGUCGGUGGUGAAAUCCUGGAGCUCAACUCCAGAACUGCCUUCGAUACUGGAAGACUUGAGUCCGGGAGAGGUGAGUGGAACUGCGAGUGUAGAGGUGAAAUUCGUAGAUAUUCGCAAGAACACCAGUGGCGAAGGCGGCUCACUGGCCCGAUACUGACGCUGAUGCACGAAAGCGUGGGGAGCAAACAGG
rnacentral:rRNA from 1 species